rnacentral:lncRNA from 1 species
GUACUCACUCUACACUUCUUCACUACCUAUGUAUGAUUUGAGGUAGGAGCAUCUGCUUAUCAUCUCAGUGUGCACUCCUGAUUCCUCCGAGAUUUCAUGGUAAGCUGCCUUCUGAGCCUGUUCUACAACACUUACAAUCUUUCUGUUGCAUUUACUUUCUGUCUACUUCAUUUAGGACAGUAGUUUAGUAUUAUUUUGCAUAUUCUACUAGUA